UACGUAGGGGGCAAGCGUUGUCCGGAUUUAUUGGGCGUAAAGAGCGUGUAGGCGGCCAGACAGGUCUGCUGUGAAAACUCGAGGCUCAACCUCGAGACGCCGGUGGAAACCGUCUGGCUAGAGUCCGGAAGAGGAGAGUGGAAUUCCUGGUGUAGCGGUGAAAUGCGCAGAUAUCAGGAAGAACACCCGUGGCUAAGGCGGCUCUCUGGGACGGUACUGACGCUGAGACGCGAAAGCGUGGGGAGCGAACGGG
rnacentral:rRNA from 1 species